rnacentral:rRNA from 1 species
GACGAACCGUGCGAACGUUGUUCGGAUUCACUGGGCUUAAAGGGCGCGUAGGCGGGCUUGUAAGUCAGGGGUGAAAUCCUCCGGCUCAACCGGAGAACAGCCUUUGAUACUGCAAGUCUCGAGGGAGAUAGGGGUCUGCGGAACUUCCGGUGGAGCGGUGAAAUGCGCAGAUAUCGGAAGGAACGCCGGUGGCGAAAGCGGCGGACUGGAUCUCAUCUGACGCUGAGGCGCGAAAGCUAGGGGAGCGAACGGG